rnacentral:lncRNA from 1 species
CUUUAACUAUAACUUUUAGCCUGUCCUGAAUUUUGUUCUACUUGAAAGAAACUAAACCUGGAAAUGGUACACAAUUCAUUAUGUGUAAAGAAGGAAGAUGAUGUAGAAUUUCAAUCAGUGGGCCCUUAGGUUAAGAAAUAGACCAAACUCUUUAUGAAAUGGUUGGUGAAUGAAACCUGGAUGUGUAUGUAUAUGCACAAACUUCAAGCAUUUUAAUUUAAAACAAAUAAAUUUGUUUUCCCAGGAGCAGACUAACCAUCGUAUUGAAUCCUAUCAGUUAAAUAGAGUUGAGAGACCAGAAGGGGGAGCUCUCACACCCUGGGACAAUAGUAGAGCCCAACAGGAAGAAUAAAGACUCUUUUUCUUUGCUGGCAAGGACUCAACCGAUGAAAAGUCGUGGACUCUGUUUACUGCAAGCCUCCCAAUUUCCUUUUCCUCUCAAUAAAAAUGUUCCUUCCCUUGGUGUGGGGAAGACUUGGCAGUGACUGGCCAUGGUUGCUGACCUUAAACUGCGAUUCUUUGUUGAUCUCCAGUAAAUCCGUCUUUGCAGGAGACAUAUCUGGCAGUCUGUCUGUCUCAGGUCAACAGAGCCCAUUCCUUUCCCCUCCACUUCUGUCACUCUGAUGCUAAUUCUCUCUGGAUCGUGCAGGUCUUUGUGGCUGUCC